CCCAGAUACAUAAAGAACUCCUACAAUGAGCAGAAGAUCUGCAGCAGGCAUUUCUCAGAGGAGAUCACAGGCACACAGAGAACGUGGGAAGAGAUGCUCACCUUCACUAGUGUACACGGAUGUGCACACUAAGAUCUCAGUGAGCUGUGAUCGGAUGCCCUCUAGACUGGUCAAAAGUAAGACAUCUGACAGCACCAAGGGCUUGAGUGGGUAUAGACCACCUGGGACACAUAAGCAGUGUUGAUGAGAGCGUCAACUGGUCACCACUUAGGAAAUCACACGGGCAUUUUCUUGUUAGGCUGACCAUUUACACACCUUCUAACCCUGCAAGCCCAGCCCUACGCAUUACAGAAGAUAUGUACAAGAUCUCCUAGCAGCAUUGUUAAUAACAGAAAAAAAUAAAAUGGAAAUGACCCAAAUACUCAUGGAUAGGAGAAUGCAAAAAUAAGCUGUGGAAUAGUCACAAUUUAUUUUCACACCGUUGAAAAUAAACUACAGCUACACAAGACAGCAUGGAUGAAGCUUAGAAACAGUAAAAUGUUGAGUAAAAAAUGCAAACCUUAGAAGUCUCUACAUAGUAUGCCAUUUUACAAAGCUCAAGAACAAACAAAACAAUAUACUGCUUGGACAUAUGCAGUAGACUUAUGAGCAAGAGAAUGACAAACACACACAACAUUCAGGACAGUGGUGACUUCCAAGGUACGACAAGAUGCAAACACACAGAUGCAAAUUAUUGAGAAGGUUCCAGUUCUGGAGUGAGUGGUGUGUUCACAGAUGCUCAUAAUUUUUUAUCUUUUAUAAUGUAUAAAACACAUUAAAUUUUUAAAAGAUACGAGCAAAGGAGAAAAAAGAGGAGGAACACAGUGUGGAUCCAGACAGAUCCAGUAUGAUGUCCCUGUCACACAGCUCACUGUUUUCACUUUGUGUCACGAUGGGUACCCAGAAGUCUGUGGAGAGGUCAGACUACGAGGCAGAAGGACUGGAAACUGGAUGAGGGCAUUCCCUCCCCUGGGCAUCAGUUUCUCCAUAUGCAAAAUAAGGGGAUUUACCAGGAAUGACAAAUGGCUGGCAUGUAUAGCAUAGAUCUCCCUUUCCUUACCCACUGCAGACAUUACUAAUGGAUUGCAGCACUCUGUCAUGCUGAGCACUUAUACAGCUUUGGAUUCCUUCUCAGCUUGGCACCGCAGGCUGCCAGGGAUGGUGGAUAAGAGAGAUGGCACACACGGUGAUACCUACUUGCUGACCUGGAGAGUCCAUCCAGCUCUGGGCUUGGAAUUUUGAAGCCAGGCCAGUAGGUACCAGUACUCUGAAAGGCAGUCCCUCUCAGGGAGCAGCCCGCUGGCCCUGGAGCCGGCCCUGGCCAGACCUUGGCAGGUGGAACCUCGGCUUUGACAGCGCCCACGCCCAUGGCUUCCAGUCUCCUGGAGCCCCCUGCUGCCCACCCACCAUCCCUCCAGGCCUCCGUGCUCCCACCUGCUGGGCAGGCUCACGUCUACCCCAUGCCGGUGGGCUUCGCUGACUUGACAACAGCUCGACUGGCACAGAGGGCCAGGCGGGAGCUCAUGUCACCAUCUACCCCAGAGGGCACUGGGAGUGCCCACUGUGCCUUAUCAACCAGCCUCCCCUGCAGAAGGACAGCAUUCCUCCCACCACCUUGCCUCCUCAGGCCUCCAGGCCUUUCUUUUUUUUUUUUUUUUGGAGGAAGAUUAGCCCUCAGCUAACUACUGCCAGUCCUCCUCUUUUUGCUGAGGAAGCCUGGCUCUGAGCUAACAUCCGUGCCCAUCUUCCUCUAGUUUAUACGUGGGACGCCUACCACAGCAUGGCUGCCAAGCAGUGCCAUGUCCGCACCCGGGAUCCGAACCAGCGAACCCCGGGCCGCCGAGAAGCGGAACGUGCGAACUUAACCGCUGCGCCACCGGGCCGGCCCCUGGCCUCCAGGCCUUUCGAGGCCCCCAUCUUCCCUCCACUCAGGGCCUCAGCUGGCAGGAGUCCCCCUUGUCCGCACUGCCCAGCUCCUUCCUCCCCAGCGGGGGUCAGCGUGCCCUCCUGCAGACAGCCACACCAGAGUUCAGCUUUCUCACGGAGAACGUAUGUCUGGGGCCAGGUUCUGUGGGUGUCUGUCCCCCACUUUGGGGAGCCCCUCAGAGACCACCUAAUGAUUGGCAUGAAAAUAAUAAUGCCAUCAGGAACAACAAAGAUUCCUUGGAGUCAGUGGACUUUUUGAAACACUCUCUUACUGUUGCACCAGUGUCACAGCCAGUGAAGUCCGCAGUGAGGGACACACUUCACUCCCAUGGUGACAACGAGAAAGUCAGGGCCACAAAGGGGAGAGACUUUCUAGCAUCACUGUCCACCUGCCCACCUCCUGGGAGGCCGGGAAAGCUUUUCUGCCACAUUCCAUCAGGGCCCUGAAACGCCCCGUCCUGCGUGGACACACCUUCCCUCCCCCAGGCCAGGGACUGCUGAGCGACCACAGUCCCAAGUCCCUGAGCAUCCUGCUCCUGCAGAUUAUUUCAGUAACGAGAUUGUAUCGAGGGACAUUAUAUCCAGUGACGUGGUGUUUCUGGCGAUUCAUCUCUCUUCCGUUUUAUUCAUCUUAUGCAAAUUUUAAAUGACUGCUGGGGCUGCGUGUGCAGGAAGUCUUGGUUCGCUAGAAGGAACUGUGGUGGGUUCUUAGAAGACAAGGAGAGGAACUUAAGGCAUCUUGCCGUCUCCAAGGAGCGGAGUGGAGACAAAGGCGUCUCUGACUGCUUCGUCCUGGAACAAAGCGCCAGCACGCACCCACAUGUGGCCCGGGGGACCCCUGAUCGGAGUCUGCCAUGGAUGCCCACUGUGUGGAAGGGCCUGGAACCUGCUAUGAUCAUCACUGUCCAUAGACUCUGAGGAGCAAACACCACGCGCCACUUUUCACUUGCAAAGGCCCAGAAACAAGAAUGCUUGUGUUCCCAGGAAUACAGAUGCCAGAUGUUCACUUCUGGUCCAAACUCAUCGUCUUUUGAGCCUUGGAAACUUUGGGCACACUGCUUCUACCUCUACCAUCUCCCACCACACUCCCCCAGCAAGUUCCCCACCUGGACAACUCCAAUGCCUCCUCAAAACCCGCUCUGAUGCCUCCUCCUCCAGGCAGUCUCCCUUGCCUUCCUUCCAGCCUCUUUCAUAUACUCUUAUUAUGCUCUUUUAUCCUGGCUGGAAUGAUCACAGUGGGUUCGAAUGCUGCUGCUUGCAUGUCUGUCUCCCCUACCAGGGGGUGGGUUUGUGGGAGCCGGGCUUAUGGCUGAUUCACCCCCGUCCCCUCCAGCCCCUCAGCACAGGCCCUGGCACAUAGUGAGGAUGGAGCAGAGCCUCAAAAAAGCAUGAGCCAAAUGCCUGAGCUCUGUCUUCACAGAACUUAGAGUUCAGUGAAAGAGAUCUAGUGACAAAGAAGGGGAAUUGAAGGUACUCUGAACACAGAUCAGGCAGUCCUUUCCUGAGUAGUUCACGUUUAAGCCGAGAUCUCACUGGUGAGUAAAUAUAAACCAGGCAGAAAUAGGCAUAAGCAACUUUCCGAAGAGAGAGAGUAACAGACCACGUUCCAAGGUGGGAGGGAGCGGCUCCUGUAAGUACUGAAAGCCUCCAGCGGAGAGACAGGGCAGUGAGGGAGAGCUUGUGGGCCAUGGGUACCAGUGAGGGGAGGCUGGAUUAUGCUGAGAACAAAUGAGUCCCCAGAUCUCAGGGGCCCACAGUCGGGUCUGUCUAUCUCUCGCGCUACGUGUCCACAUGGUUCUACUGCUUGUCGCCUUCCCUCUGGACUCAGGCUGUGGGACAGUCUGUCUGCAAUAUCGCCAUUGCCCCAGGAGAAGGAGAAGAAGUGACAAAGCGCACACCGGCUCUUUGCCGUUCCUCAGCCCCCUUGCCGUGCCCGAGAGCAACAAGGAGCAGGGCCGCCUAAUCCUCCAGCUGGGAGGAACCACAACAAGGGCACUGAGGGUGGCGAGCCAUCAUCCAGUUCCACACCACGCUUAUGAUUCUGAUGAUUAUCCUAGGAGCCAGGGAAAGCCACAGAAUACAUUCUCUAUUGGUAGCAAGUCACUCUGGCUGCAGCAAGGAGAACAACCCAUUGGAAAUGGGCAAGAGUGGAUUUGGGGAGAAAGAUUGGGAGGCCAUUUCAAUUCUCCAGGCCAAAAAAAGGACAAUCCUUUACUAGGGUCAUGGCAGUGGAAACGGGGAGAAACCAACAGAUUAAAAAGAUAGGAGGAUUGAGUGAUGUGCAAAGGGAAGCAGAGAGGAGUGGCUAGGUGGCCCCAGGGUCAGGGAAAGAACAGAGCAGGCUUGGUUCCUCAUGCCUUACCAGCCGCUGGCUCUGGUCACUUGGGAAGAGGAGUUAGCCUAUUCGCUGUUUGUUCUGGGGUUCCCUGUGUUCUCCUAAUAAAUCUCCCCCUCUUGCUUAGGAAAAAAUGCAUGAGCUAAAUAAAGGAGGGAACAAAUGGAUUAAUAAGGCAAUGAGCUCUGAGUGAACUGACAAAUGAGUGACAGAGUGACCAGGGGAAUUCAUUCAUGUCCCCAGAUGUUCAAAGGAUGAAGAGAACCUGGACUCAACCAGAAGAAAAAGGAAGUCAUCUCCGCUGGGCAUGCCUCAGAGGGCCCCCCCCCCCCCAUACCUCAGGGUCUCCACUCCUCCAGGGAGAUGACCAGUUUCAGCUGCGACAGAGAAAAGAGGGGUGGGCUGGGGGGAGAGGGGAGGGACAGGGAGGAGGGCGAUGGGCGGGUCCGUGGGAGCUCGGCAUCAUCCUCUCCUCCGUCCAUGUGGCCUCCCUGCGUUUCCCUUUCAGAGUCCACAGCUUGACCAUCCGUGGUGGACAGGCUUGGGAGUCACCAACAGCCCAAGAGAGAUUUUCUGUCUCAGCGGCAGCACUGGGUAACCUCACAGAAACUCAGAGCCCAGGGUUCUCACAGGCUUAGAAGGCCCAGAUCCCCUUCUGCCCUGGGCCCCCUUGACAGCCACAAAGGGGAAGGAUUUCGAGGCGCAGCUGCGGGACCAUGGCCUUUUCUCAGCCCAGCCCGCCUUUGGAGCAUCGUGGUCACUGUCCGUGACACUCAUGGCUUGACUCAGAGCAGGAGACACGCUCUAAGACCGAACCACAGUGUGUCAGAGCUGAGGGGGCUCCAGGACCUCAUUUUCCCCAGCACCUUGCUUUGCAGAGGAGAAAGCAGAAGCCCAGAGAGGGGAAAGAAUUCCCUCAGGCCACACAGUGAGGGGCAGAGAGGGACUGGAAGCUAGCCUUUGGACAAAACUCACUGCCUUUGGAAGGCUCCUGGGUGAUGCUCCCUUCCCGGCACAACUAACAGGCCUGAACACUCAGAGUGGCACACAGAAGGUGCUCAGUGGACAUUUGUGGACUAAAUGAUUAUAAUGGGACAAAAAAAGCAGGCCAUGAAACUGGGAGUGGACCUCAAAUCCUGUCUUCCAACAGCAAGUCCUGCUCCUCUUUGGUAUGGGUGAAGUGGGGCUGGGAAAGGAGGCGGGGCGGGGGGAAGCAGUGCGGGCACAAAUCCUUUGUAAAGAGAAAAUAAUGGGGUGUGGGAAGCCCAUAGGAGCAGGCUCAACCCAGAAAUCAGGUACAGACGAGAGUGGCAGUUGGACACUGGCCUCGCUCCAUCUCCCACGUAGGGAAUGGGGAGCAGUUAGGGUUAGAAUCUUGGGGGAAGAGAAAUUCUUUUUCUGUUGGGCUGCUGAGGGGCGAUGAGCCCAGCCUGUAACUGUUGGUGGCUAUCUUGCUUUCAUCAACAGAAAGCCCACCUGAGAAGGACACCAGCACAGAGGGGAGUGAGCCAGGCCGAGAGGCUGGGAGAAGCUAUUCCUGCUGAUGGCAUCAAGCACCCAGGUACAGCCUUACCUGAAGCUAUCUGCCUUUAGACUUCUUCAUUACAUAAAUCAUUCUCUCCUGCUUCAUUUGCUUUUUUAAGCCACUUUGGGUUUUCUGUCACUGGCUAUCAAAAAAAUUCUGAGGGCUGGCCCAGUGGCAUAGCAGUUAAGUUUCCUGCACUCUACUUCAGAAGUCUAGGGUUCACGGGUUUGGAUCCCAGGUGGUGUUCCACAUACAAAAUAGAGGAAGAUUGGCACAGAGGUUAGCUCGGGGACAAUCUUCCUCAAGCAAAAAGAGGAAGAUUGGCCACGGAUGUUCAUUCGUGGCCAAUCUUCCUCAUCAAAAAAUAAAAAAUCUGACUGUUCCUUCCAGCUGGCUAAAUGGCGCACUGUGGAACAGCAACAAUAUUGAGGAUUUAGGCUAGCUUCAAGGAAAAACUUCCAGAUAACAGUGCAAUCUAACCUGGAGAUCCAAAUGGACUCAAACAAUAUCUGUUGGGGGCCUGCUACAGGCUGGGCCACUCACAUUACCCAAAUUAAUCCUGAUUUUAGAGGACAAGAUUGAGGCUCAGAGAAGGGAGGUAACUGGCUAUAGCGAGGAAAGUGGGGCUGAGGCACCCGGCACCACAUGCGGUGUACAGCGAGGGCCUGAGGCUGGUAACUGCCAUGUGGCCGUCAGGAGACUCACAGAGGCAGUUCGCACUGAAGAGAGGAAGGGAACCUCCGCUCACUGGCACCACCACCCCUCCCAGCUCCCCCAGGGCCGGCAUGCCUCUCUCUCGCUUUGCUUGGCAGAGUCAUGCUCAUGUGACCACAAGGGCCAGGGUCUGGAGCUGCUACAGGGGAGGCCAGGAGCCUGAGGCCCCCACCCUACCUGGGAACACCUCCUUCCUUUGGGCCUUGGGGGGCCCUAUUCCCCACUUGCACACCAGAUGUCUUUUCCAGAACAUGCAGAGAACCUCGCUCAUUCUGAAACAGGAGGUAUCUAUCACUGCCCUUUCCAUGUCUCCCCGAAACGUAGCUCGUGCCCUCCUUUCCUUGCAUCGUGGCCUCCCGGGGCUGUCGCUGACGGUCAAUCAACUGCUCAGCACUUGAAGGCCCCUGUGAGGCAAGAGCUGCCCGCUGGGAAGCUCACACACCAGCUGAAGGGGCCGUUGAGGUCCCUGAGGGCCGGAACCAGUGCUCGGGCUAAGGUGACCCAAAACACUUCUUAAUGGCUGGGGGCUCCUGGCCAUGGUAGGGGUGCGAGGUCCCUGCAGUGUCUGAGGGCCCACUGUGUGCAGGUUCAGGGUGUACAGAGGAGAAAGGGCGGAUGCCGGCCCCAGAGGAGUUCACAAACCAAAUAUGGGUGAGCCAGCCAGGCAGACAGAGAACCAUAGCUCAUGGGCUGUUUUCAUAGGGGAAGGGUGGGGGUCGGGGCAGAGACCCAUGUCUACUGGGGAACUAGUUAAAGUCAGGGAAUUUUUUUUUUUUUUGAGGAAGAUUAGCCCUGAGCUAACUGCUGCCAAUCCUCCUCUUUUUGCUGAGGAAGACUGGCCCUGAGCUAACAUCCACGCUCAUCUUCCUCUACUUUAUAUAUGGGACGCCUGCCACAGCAUGGCUUGACAAGCGGUGCCAUGUCCGCAGCCAGGAUCCGAACUGGCGAACCCUGGGCUGCCAAAGCAGAACAUGUGAACUUAACCAUUGUGCCACCAGGCGGGCCCCAGGACAGGAAAUUUUUAACUGAGAUUUGAAAGCUGUACCAGUUAGAUGUGUAUUUGCCUAAAGUAACAGAAAACUCUACUAAGAGUGACUUAAACUGCAAAGGCAUCUAAUGUUUAAUGUUUAAAGAUGAUGUGAGAGAUGGGAAGCACACGCAGAGGCACGGAAGCACAGAGGCACAGCACAUGCAGAGGCGCAGAAACACAGAGGCACAGCACACGCAGAGGCUCAGUGUGCAGAGGCACAGCACACAGGGAGGCACAGAGUUGCGGCACACACAGCAGCACAGAGGUGCAGAGGCACAGCACACUUAUAGGCACACAGGUGCAGAGGUGCAGCAUACUCAGGAGCACAGAGGUGUAGACGCAGCACACACAGUGGCUCAGAGGCACAGAGGCACAGAGGUGCCAAGGUGCAGAGGCACAGAGGCACAGGACACGCAGAGGCCCAGAGGCCCAGAAGCACAGUGUGCAGAGGUACAGCACACAUAGAGGCACCGAGGCGCAGCCCACACAGAGGUGCAGAUGCACCGAGGCGCAGCACACACAGAGGCGUGGAGGCACAGAGGUGCAGAGAUGCAGAGGCACAGAGGCCCAGUGUGCAGACGCACAGAGGUGCGGAGGCACAGAAGCAUAGAGCCACAGCACACACAGAGGCACCGAGGUGCAGAGUGCAGGAAAUGAGCUGGCACAUGGGAUUACUGGUGGUUCAUGACCACAUCAGCACGGCAGGGGUGGGGAAAAGUGGGCAGGGCCUUGUAUUAUGUUUUAUGCCUGGAGCGCAGUGGGCCCUGGGCAAUAGGGAGCUACGAACAGACGCUGAGGAGAGAGUGAGGGCAGGCGCAGACAGGAAACUGCAGGUGUGCAGAGGCCCCUGGACUUUAGGAACUGAGCAGAGCCAUUCUGUGACUGGCAAUAAUGUUGCUAAUAAACCCUGGAGGCCUCUGUUCAAAAAGAUGAUGAUAAUUGACAAGAGAGAGUAAACACAACCUUGAUUCAUGAAUUUGCUGAUGGCAGUCCCCCGUUUCUGGAUAUGAGAACGCACACACGCAGCCUGGUGCUUUAGACAGCAAGGUCAUCACAGUUGUGACACCCACAGCUCACCUCUCCCAUCUGCCCUGGGCUGUUGCACUCCCCCAGGACCCGUGAACAAACAUAGCACAGGUGUUGUAAUUUACACAGGACACCCCCAACUCCGAUGGUGAGGAUGACUGUGUCCCAGCUUACAGAGGAGCAAACAGAGGCUGGAAGUAGCUCAGGGGCUUGCUGGUGACUGGUGGGGGUGGCAUUUGAACCCAGAGCCUGUCUUUCCCAGUCCACCGAGCUGCUUUAUGACUUCAGAGCCAGGAUGUUUGCUAACCCCGAGGGGGCUCGGAACUCCUGCUCACCCCAGCACUCCCCAGGAGGUGGGCGGGGAGGCAGUGGAGGUCUCUUCCCUCUGCAACACUCUCCCACAGGACCCCACAGACCUGUCCUUCAUUAUGACCCAGGGCCUUUGGGGCCGAGCACGAGGAACGCCCUGCACCUGCGGGGACCACAGUCCAUGGGGUGACACGUGGGCAGGUGUGCUGGGGGUGAGGCCUCACAGUCUGGCCCAUGACUGAGAGGACAGCACCCUGGUUAAGGCCCCCUAGGUCCACACACUCACAUCCUGGAACUGAGGGGGGCCUGGGGCUUCAGUUGGCCAAUUCUGGCCUUUAAAGGGCAAACUGUGAUCAUCCAGGAGGCUGAUUUCAUUGAUUAGAUUACACAUUUACAACCCAAUGGCCAAGCCCCUUUCCCUGUUCCCUUGUAGCCCUCAGCCUCUCAGCUUUUAUUUCUCUCCGGGACCAAGUUCUUAGCUUCAAAUUGAGUCCCAUUAUGAGCAGAAAUACUGUUCCCUUCAUGUGUCAGCGUCAGUAUAGAGGCCCUCCCAUCCCCUCCCUCCCUCCCCGGGUUGCCGCCUCUGCACUGGGGGAGCCAGGCUGUUUACUGCCGCUCUGCAGAUGUCGGCACGAAGGAUUUAGGAGGAGGCUGGGAGGGGGCUGUCGGCAUGGCAGGGUGAGGGGUCUGGUGACAAUUCACCUGUGAAACCUCAGGCGGCUGGAGGGUCGGGCAGCAGGGAGUGCCACAGCCAAGGGCCCCGCAGGUUCAGAAUAAGUCAAUUAAACGUGUCAACCCAGCCUCCUCUGGGAGGCUGGGCCCUGGAGCACGACUGUCAGUGUGAAAGCAGAGGGUCCCGUGUGCCCGGACCCGCCAUCCAGAGAGCAGGGGUUGAGAGGUGAGCACUUUGAAACCAGGACACUGGGGUGCAAACCCAGCUCCAUCACUUGCUUAGUUACCAAGGCAGAACGGGCCUCAGCUUUCUCACCUGUAAAGUGGGCAUCUUGGAGUCUCUCCCUCCUGGGGGUGGGGGUUAAAUGAGGUGCAGGGAGGGCCUGGGAGCGGGCUGGGCUGAGCGCUGCCCCCAGGCACGCUGUCGGUGCUGUUGUGAGGACCGUCUUCUGGGGCAGGGCUGGCACGCUUUUUCUGUAAAGGGCCAGGGAGUAAAUAUUUUAGGCUUUGAGGGACCUGUGGUCUCUGUCACAACUGCUGGACUGCGGUUGUAGUGCAAAAGCAUCGUCGACAAUGGGCAGUCCAGGCUCUCAACCUGCUUUCCAGGUGAGGGCUCCGGGCCCAGGGAGUCCCUGUCUUACACACUCGCAUUUCAGUAGUGGGCGGGCUGCAUUCUGAUAAAAUUGCAGCUGCCCAAGGAUGGCUAACCCUGUUCUAGGAGGCUGGCUAGGAGAAAGGGGAGGUGGUAGGGGCAUGAUUCCCCUGAAGUCAGGGGGCAGAUGGUCAUGUGCUCUGGAAUCCACAUCUCCCAGCCCCAAAGUGGUGGGCAAUUUUUAAAUCCUGCCCCUGAGGGGACUUGCAGCUGAAACAGGAGAGUAGUGGGCUCUGCACCUUGUUGGAACGACCUGGAAACCGAGUCGUAUGGAACAAGGAAUUCUGCCAAGUCACAGAAGCUCAGGGCAGACUUCCUGGGACACUGUGACUUGCCCCUCCUCACUGUCACUGGUGAGGGAAAGGCCUCAGGCAGGGGUCUGGGGGACCUGUUGGAUUACACUUGCCACCCUUAUCAAGGAGCAAGUCUAGUUGACAUGGUCACAUGGGUUGUGCUGUGCUGUUGAGGACUCGUUUUUGCCCUUUGAAUGAGGAUGUCCUGUGUGCCAAACACAGAACCCUAUGAGUCAGGUCUGGAAAGCUGGGCACAGAGAGGUUAGGGAAAGCUUCCAGGUCACACAGCGGGUAGGGGCAGAGCUGGGGUCUGAUGCAGACCUGAUGCACAGGCCCACACCCUCUCUACUUUCCCAGGAGCCAUCUGGAUUCCACAUGUCAGUGUCCCUCAGAGGGGUGCUAGGUAUCAGCACUGAUAUCCUUGUCCUAACAAACCAGGAUGCCAUCAAAGGGAAGACAGAGACAUUUGCUGUGUGCCUGCAGGGCCAGCUCGUUCACACACCCUGUCCACAGCACCCAGAAGGCUGCUCCCAACUGGCCCGGAGCACAUGCUCAGGUGGCUUCCUCCUGGCUUCCUCCUGGGCUGAGUCACUGAGUCCUCCAUGCUCAGUUCUCCUGUCUGUGUGGGCUGGAAUCAGCAGCUACUUCCUGGGGGCUCCAGGAGGGUUAAACAAGCUAAUACGUACAAAAUCCUUGAGGCCGUGGCCAGCACACGGGGCACACUGGGGGUCAGCUGCACCAGUCUUAUCCUUUCCUCUCCCCUUUGCUGGACGAGGAGACCCAGUGGGGGCAGGGCUUGUCCAAGUUCUCACCACUGCCCAACCGGGGGUGAUGCCCAGAUUGGACUCCAUCCUCUGCCCCUCCUGAGUGUCUUCAUUCCCAUGCCUCGGCUGCUUGGACACUCAGCGAGGCAGGCCCCACUUCCUGAGGCCUCUGUGUCUCUGCCCUGCCCACCCGGCGUCUCCCCCAGGGGUCAUCCCAGCGCCUCUGGCCCUAGGCCCCCAUACCCUGGGUCUGCCAUGCUGGGUGUGAGCAGAGUGAUGGACAUGCACCGCUGCCUCCUGGACAGUCUGAGGGUGCUCAGCAUGCCAGUACCGUCCGCGGCCCAGAGAGCCUGAGGUGGGGCACGAGGUCUGAGUCUUCAGUAACGCACUAAUUUAAUUCAUUCAACAAUUCUCAGCACCUCCUUUGCUAGGUGGUUACUGGGGAUGGAGAGACGAGGUGAACACAGGCUAGCCGGGCAGAAAGCGGUCCCAUGGACAUUCAAGGUGCAGCAUGAGGAGGGAGUAACCAAGCGCUGACCUCAGAACCACUCUUGGCCUCUGUUUUCUCAUCUUUAGAACGGGGACAGCAAAACCUACAUUACAUGGCUGUCGUUGAAGGGAGUGGCAGCCUGAUCCACUGCCAGACCCUAUCCUAAGCACUUGAAAAACAUGAACUCACUUGAUCCACAUGAAAAUUCUAGGACAUAGGUACUGCUAUCAUCACCCCUUUUUGCAGUUGAGGAAACCGAGGCUCGGAGAGGUGAGGUAAAUGCCUCGGAUCACAGAGCCCAGGCCGUCCUGCUCCAUUGCCCAGCUCUUGGUCAGUGCCUGCAUGGGCUGUCCAGGGCCUCCCUUCACCCUUCACUGGGACCCACAGCUGCAGCCUUACAUCAGUGAGAUCAUUCAUAGGGGGCGAGGUGGGGGCACCAUGGGCAGGUUUUCUCCAAGCACUGCUUUGCCACCAGACCGGCAGCUUAAGGGGCUGUGUUGUAUUUGCUGCUGGAUACCCAGACCUAAGGCCAGGCCAGUGGGGGGCAGCAGCAGAGGGGGACCUGCAGGGACAAGAGCAUUGAGAGUCUGGACUCUACCUUGGGCAGCCGCUCCUGAGCCCACCCCUGGCCAGGCAUCUUAAACCAAGAGCCUCAAGCCAGGGCCCAGGGACAAAUCUGGAUUUUAAAAGUUAAUUAUAACAUUUAAAAACUGGAAGAUUACAGAUGGAAUUCCAGCUGUCUAGCUUUUUUUUUUUUUUUUUUGUAUGAAAUGAGAAAAUCUGGCCACCUGUGAUAGUCCCUCAAGGCGACACUCUUCUGGAGCUGAGCUGGAGCCGUGCUCUGGACAGAGCUUGUGUCCCCAGCUUGCCACAGUCCCUGCGGCUCCCUAAGCUUCCCCUUGGCCCAGGACUCCCACCCCCACCCUGCCUCCCCAGGCCUGACCCCUGGAGGCAUCUGAGUUCGCGGUCCUCCCGUUAGCCCCACUUCUUCACCUGGGACUUGAGGACCACAGCAGCAUCCAGCCUGGGCACACCGGUUAGAUGAACUGGGAAUGCAGCCCUCAAGGCAGGGGUUCAUCGCCUGCCCUCCAAAGGCAGCCGAGAAGGGGUGUGGGUGGGUGAGGCCCGGGACCAGGGGCUCGGGGAAGUGUCCCCAAGGAAUGCUAUGUCUUCUGACUCCAAAGCCACAUUCUAACUUCCUGCCCGUCUCCCACUCUCUCAUGCAUUGCUGCAGCCAGGCAUUCUGCAAACCCUGGGCAUGCUGGGGAUCACGACCCCGAGGUCAGCAACAAGGGCACCAGCAACAGGCACCCAUCCAACGUGCCGUCUCCAGCAGCUCAGAGAGCACAGUGCCAUUGUGAGGCGGCCACUGUCAGACCCAUUUAUAGUGAGAAACUGAGCCUCUAAAGGGACAAGGGACUUAUGCAAGGUCACACGGAUUUGGAAGGCUUAGAAGCUAGGUCUGCCGGUCUCUCACACAAGGAGACAGGUCAGCCUCAGGCAAUGACAAUCAGAUGACCUAAGCAUAGAGCGUGCUGCCUGUGUCAUGGUGAGGGCCAUGGUACUGGACAGGCGGGCUCAGGAACAAAUGCCCCAGAAGGGCAGAGUCUUGCAGGGUGAGGGCACUGCUGUCUGGGGAGUAGAGGAAAGGCACUCCUGCUGGAGGACCAGCUCGUGCAAAGGCCUGGAGGUGCUGCAGUGUGAGAAACAUGGCUUGUAUGUGACAGAGGGGGACACUGGAAGCCACUGCUCUCACAUGUGGAAGCCCCUGGACUCCUCCUCCCAGCUUGACCCCAGCCCUGGCAGCUCUGCCUCAUCUAUCUCUCUGUCCCCCACUCGUCCUGCUGCCCUCGCGAGGCCCAGCCUCUGAGUCUGCUCAUCCUCAACAUCCUGCACUUUCCAUAUUAUCCUGUAUUGGCUCAGACACAAAGGAUGGAUUCCCUUCCUUGAAGUGAUAAUUAAGUUUCUCAUUACAGAAGGAUACCCUCACGACAUGUCUUCAAAGUUUUAAAAAACUUAAAAUUGAAAAGAAAAUCCAGACUGUUAAUGGUCUAAAUGAGCACAGGGUGAGAGAAGGUCCCUCAGGUUCCUGGUAAUGAAGGAGCCCUGGUCCCGGAGGGAGAGGAGGAGGGGCUGAACUUGACCCCCAUGCGGCCUGUGGGUAAUCCUUUCGUGUGUUCAGGGUUUCACCCGCCAUCACGUUUUUCGGAGCCCCUUUCUGCAUCUGGCCCAGGUCCCUCCCAGAGCUCAGGGGCUGGAGAGGUCAUCAGAGUGUGAUCACAGCACUGGGGCAUCCCAGGUGAGGCCUGAGGGGGUGGGAAUUAAGAAUUGCUUCAUGGAGGAGGUGGCAUCUGUGCUGGUCCUCCAAGGACGAGCCAUCAUCUAGCCACGCCCUGGCACCGAGUAGGAGCCAAAUACGUAAACGAAUGAGUGAGCAAAUGAAUGAAUAGGCACCCACCUAACAGACAGAAGGAGGGGCAGCCAGCCCAAGCCAAGAUGUGAAACUCAGGGCCCCCUGGGGAAUGUGGGGAAGGGCUGCCAUGGGGUGCCCGCCUCACCCCCUUUUUGGCUGUCCUGCCGCCAAAUUGCCGUGCUCUGGCCGCUCGGGAGCCCUGGUCUGCCCUAUAAUCUGGGAGUCUGCUUGUCAUUCCCAGCCGCUCCCACAGGUGUCACCUCCGUGUCCCCGUGUGUAAGUGGACCAGCCUCUUGGGGGUUUGUGAAGAGGGGGAGGACGGUGUGCAGCCCCAGGCUGAAGACAGGAGGGAGAGGAUGGCGGGGUUCCCAGGGAGGUGGAUCCAGGGGGUGGGGCGCAUCUGCGUGGCAGGGUGGGCAGGAGCCUUUCCUGGGGCAGAAGAGCCCGCUGGUGAGGUCUCCCUCACCAAGAGGGGCUUCGUGGAGAGGAGGCAAUCGUGGAGCAAGGGCUGAACUCAGUCUGGGACACACUGACUUCAAGAAGCUCAGGGGACACCCAGACAGAGAAGUGUAUGAAAUGUUGGAUGUGGAGGUGAAAGUGUGACAGAGGGUCUGGGUCAGAGCUUGAGACCCACAUGAGAUGAGGCAGAGGGGCAAUGGAAGGGGCUGGAGGAUCUUGAAGAUGUUCAGUAACUGGGGUCAUCAAGGUGGAGACUGCUGUGUUGAUUUCACAGCCUCCUGGUGCCUAACACAGCUGGGCCCAGGGAGGCCAUUCAAUAAACAUGUACUGACUUGACCCAAAUUAGCCCGAUUCUACUUUAAAUCAUAGAAUAGAACAGAAUUUGCUGAACUCAGGUUAACUAGCUUGAAAGGUGAAACCAAGGAUUACAAACAAAAAUGAAAUACAGACUCAAGACAAAACUAAGAAUUCACAUUAAUAACUAAGACUCUCAAACGGGCAGCCCACUGUGGCCUUGGGGCCUUUGCACUUGCUGGUCUCGCAGCCUGGAACACUCUACCCUCUGCAUUGCUUGCUCCCUAAACAUCUUCGGGAAUUUGCUCAAACAUCUUUCCUGAUUUUAUUUUUCUCCAGGGUAAAUAUCACCACCUGAACUUGCAUAUAUUUUAUUUAUUUUUCCUUUGUCUCCCCAAUUAGGCUGUCAGCUAUACGAGAAUGGAGACCUCUGCCUGCUUCUCCAGCUGCUGUGCCCUGUGUCUCGAGCCAGCCAAGCAGGCAGCAGGGCCUCAGUGACAUGCCCUGAGCAAGUGAACACUGCAGACCACAAACAAGCACAUUUCCGGGAGUGCUAAGCGUUGUCGUCUCAUUCGCUGUUUAUGGAGCCCCUCUCUGUGUCCGGCCCUGACCUUGGCUUGAGGCACGGACUCAGCGAAGGAGACAAACUCUGCUGCCCCCAUGGAGCCGACAUUGCAGACGGGGACAAAGAGUGAGCAGAGCACAGCAGGUCAGAAGGUGGAAAUGCUGCAGAGGAAGAGCAGGGCUCGGGGAUCGGGGAUCGGGGGGAGGACAGUGGUGGGAGGACAGAGAGAGGCGGAGGCCCAGAUGGAGCAGGGCCUGGGGGCCCCUGUGAGGACUUUCCCCCCGGGUGGGGAGAGGCAGGGCGGGGUGCUGAGCAGGGGGCCGGGCCCUGAACGCCACGAGGGGAAUGAAGUGGGUGAUGGUAGGGAGACUGGGCUGGGGAGGCUGUCUCUGUAGAUGGAGUAGGCAGGGAAGGCUCCUCUGAGGAGGUGACAUUUGAGCUGAGCCCUCGUAUGGACCAUGUUUCUAGCUUCUGUAAACCUGAUGCUUUAACAUCUGUCCUGCAUGCAAACGUGAGACAUGCCUUGUUCUGAAUCCCCUCGACUUGGCCUCCUGCUUCCCUGGUUGCCCACUUCUCCCACCCCCAGGAAGAAGCCUCCUUCAUGGGCCCACUCUUCAAAUACACACCAACCAAUCCAGUGUCCAUCCACACCCCAACCACCUCCUCUAUUGGACACUCAUACUCUGGGCCACUGUCCCCCUGCCCUUAUCACCCAGGGCAGGUACCAGACAACUGGGACAGACCCUGUACCCCAGAGCCUGUGAAAUUAUUCAGACCAGCCAGUCCUAAGCCUGCUCAGCCUGCCUCAUUGUUCCUUCCUGCAGAGACCACAGUAAAGGCUCCUGCCCACACUUCCCCUGCUCCCUGUGCCUCCUGACCACCCCCGUGUGGCCCUCUGUGCCCACUCCUCUGGGAACUGUAAGAAACUAUCUUUUCAAUGGUAUGGUCUCCUGAUCUGUUGGCCUUACUGAAUCUCAAAUUUUCCAUUAAUACAUUCUAUUUUGAACCAGCCCUACAAGACACUUUGCAGACACUUAGUGUAAACACACGAAGAACAAAUGAACUAUGUAUCCUUUUACAGUAUCUUCAACAAGUUUAAUAUUUUAAUAUUUUAACAUACAUUAGAGUUCCUUUUCCCCAUAAAAUUGGAGGGUCCGAAAGAGUGGAGGGCUUAUCAGAAAUUACAAGAACAAGGCCAGACCCCUGGGCAGUCCUGAAUAUCUGUGUCCCCAGACUGAGGGCUCAGGCUUGACCGAGUCCCAGUCUCUGCCCUCACACUGUGCCUGGAAUUUGGUUGGUUUUUCAAAUUCAGCUUUUAAACUUGUCAGCUUAGCAGGGCACUCGUCAUUCCCAAACUCAUCUUUCUAGCAAUAAUCAAGUUACACCACAUGUGAGAUGGCCUUUUCCCUGAGUUAUUUAAUGAGAAUCUGCAGAUAUUAGCAGGGAAAGAGUCAGCCCGGCCUGUUUCAGGACAAGGUGUGUCUUUGGGAGAGAGUAGAGGUGGACAGUGUGGGAGGACAGAACAAGAGGAUGCCCUGGGCGAUACCAGCUCCAGACUUGUUUACUUGGGGGCAUCAACCUUCGUGAAUUAAAUUUCCAGAGAACCACCCAGAGAAGGGAGUGGGUUGGAGCUACACUUCACUGUCACCCCAUGGAAAGGAGGGCUGAGCACUUCAGACAGCUGUGGCCCUGGGAGAAGCCUGACCCAAGGGAACCACUCAGAAAGUCCCCUCCGAGACUAUUGUCCUGGACAGGAUAAGGUUCAGCUGCUGUAGUAAAGUGCCCCCCCCCGCAGGAGAGUGGCACGCAGAAGUUGGCAUCUCUCCCAGGCUCAGUCUGGAGGCAGACAGUCCAGGGCUGGCCUGGCAGGGCUGCUCUAGGAGGCCCCUCUCCCUGUUGCCCUGUCAUCCCAGAGGAGUUGCCCUCACCAAUGUGGGUCAGGAUGGAGCUCCAGCCUCAGAGCUCAUGCUCCCAGCAGCAGGACAGAGGGAGAAGCAGAAAGAAGGGCUGGCUUCUCCCUCCUAGGAAAUAUCCUAGAAGCCACACAAAUUGCUUCCCUCCCCAUCCUGAAGGGAGAGCUUGGUUAUACACCCAGCCUAACUGCAGAGGAGGCUGGGAACUCUGUAGUCUUGGGUGGCCACAUGCUCAGCUAAAAGUCAGGUGUUCGGUUGCUCUGAGAAGUGGACACUGCUAUUGGGAGGCACCUGGACCUCUCUGCCACACCCCUUUUAAUGUUUCCUCUCACCGCCUGACCACUCCCUACCCUGAGUUCACGUUUUAUGAAAAAGUAUCCAUCAGACAAAUUGCAUUAAGUAAUUCAUAAUUCAGGAACCAGCUGAAAAUCAUGGGCCGGUGGGUUCUUUUCAUUAGAUUUCCUUAGAUUCAUUAGAUUAGCCAGAUUUGCUGGUAAACCGCUGGUGGGACGCCAUUACCAACUCCGAGGUUCUCUCCCACCCAGAGCCCACGGUGUGCACGCAGCCAGGAGCGUCUUCUCCAAUGGAAGCCGAUCGUGUCACUCCCUGCUCUUGGAUCCCCUGCUCCUUAGAACAAAACCCAAAGGCCUUCCUGUGGAACUGAGCUUGGACUAAUGAGGGAGAUCAGAGACAGCCACUGGCCCAGCCAGUCAAGGCCCACAGCUCACACAAGAGGAGAAAGUCUCACUAGCAGAGCAUUCUGUUACCGGAGCUGACAGCUUUCCAGGCCACGAGCUGCGGGAUAUUUAAGUUUGGAGACGCAGACCAAAAUGCACCAGUGAGAAGUGGUCCCAGAAACAAGGGGUGCUGCUCCAAACCCCCACUCCCCAGCCUCAUUCCCCACCUCUGUCUUGUAUGUGCCUAACACUCCAGCUUCCUUCUGUCUGGGAUGCCUCCUCUCCAUAUCUUGUGGUCAGAGCCGUGCAUCAAGGCCCCGCUAGAUGCCACCUCCUUCAAGACGCUGUCCCGAUACUGGCAGCAGCAGGUGAGCGUGUGCUGUGCUGUGACUGUCCUUCCUUUGUACCGGUGCACAGGUGACUGUACCGUAGUUAGGUCCCUGUCUUGUCUUCCCAGCUGGACUGUGCCCUUCGGGCAGGACCUGUGUCUGAUUCAUCUCUGGGAGCCCAAUGGAGUUUGGCCAAGUGCCCGGCAUUUCGGCUUCCCAGAGAGGAAACCUCAUGGGCAGAGUAUCUGGGGGAAACUGAACAAUUCACUAUGAGUAAAGUGCAAGGAAUGGAUGCUAGUGAAAAGCUCUGCAGGGGGACAGGUCAUAGAGGGUCCCGAAAGCCCACUAAGGCACUGGGACUCUCCCUGAAGGGAAUGAGAGCCAUGGACAGAUCUCAAGGAGAACAACACUCACUGACCACACAUCGGGUUGUUUGGCGUAAAGAAAACCAAAACAGGGGACAUGAAGGGGGAGCGACAAGACUCCCAGCCUGUCCCUAGCCCUCCUCUUACUUCCCCUGGCCCUGCUCUCAGUGUGCGAAGGAAAAUCUUCUCUGACUGGUCAGAUGCUGGGACUGUCCCUGGGCAGUCUCGAGAGCAUGCAGAAAGACUCUGCACAUAGUGCCACCCAGCCUCACGAGAAACAGCCAGGGGCCUCCUGGACAUUCCUCAGCUUCUUAGGAGCCCAUGCAGAAGCUCCCUGAUAGACAUCUGAAACGAUAAAUUCACCGCCUAAAAUGGAAAUACCAGGGAAAGCCCUGGGCACCUGGAACUUGCCUUUUAGAAGCCACCUUUCCGCCAUCCCCUCCAUCUCUCUGGGCUGCUGUCUCUUACCAUGAAUCCUCCUCUACCCCCCAGGAUGUCUGGCUUCCCGUGGAGCUCCCCUGGAACCUUGAGCAGACUGAACAGCCCAGACCUCGGUCAGGACUCUUAGAGGGAGUGCUCGGUGCACUGUUACAAAAAGGAGGAAUCAUCAUGGUGGAAGGGCCAACUCCUGCGUUAUAGCCAGAAAACUCAGCUGCACAUGGGAGGGACCCUUAGGCCGCUUUGACCCUUAGGCCCACACCAGCGCCACUUCUCUGACUCUGCACACAGACUGGUUCAUGGGACUUUGUUAUCUAUUAUGGACCGCUUGGUUGUAGUUAAGAAAGGCCACAGGAUCAGAAGUUUCCCUCACUCCUGAAAAUGUUAGGGAAUGUUAGUAUGCAGUUUCUGCCUUUCUGACCUCACUAUGGCUCACAGCCUUUUCCCUUCAGAACCACACUAGUUGCUGCUGAGAGUUCCCAUAGUAAUUCUAAGUCACUUUUCCAUAUAGUUGUUCUGAUUAACUCCAAGUACUACAUCACUACCUGCUUCUCAAACUGGAGCAUGCGCAGCCCCAAUUCUGCGCAGAGAGGAUGCAAGACAGCGUAUCUGUGAUACAUCUUUCUGGAGCAUCAGGUUUUUUACAAGACUUGGAAAACCAAGUACUUUAUAAGAACCAUCUCUCCUCCCCACAAACAUGGAAGAAAAGAUGGAGAGGACAGGGGAGGGAAGAAGUGCCCCAGGAAAAGCAGUCCAGCCCCUGAAGUUUCACCCUGGUGGGGGCCAAGGGGCAGACCUGCAGCUAGGGUGGCCUCUCCUCGUGUCCCCCAGGCGCCUCCAGCCCGUCCUCUAAGUUCACCAAGUAUUUUGGAUAUAAUGCUUCUGAAGGCCAUGGAGGUGCCAGACACCAUUCUGAUGUGAACCCAGAGCAGAGAAUACCAAAGCGGUUUGCACACCUCCAUCGUCCACUGGACCAAAUCCUCUCGCCCGCACAUCCGUUCACAUAUAGCGUGUACUUCUUGUACAGCUCCCACUUGCAGCUGAAUGUGUCCAGCCUCUGGCCGAACUCCCACACCACAUUGCCAGGCUCUCUGGAGCUCCACAUCUUGCUCUCCAUUUAAAAUGCAGGGGUGCCGCUUGACCUCCCCACAAUCUUUGAUUUGAACCCUGCCAUGAGAUUAAAUUGGCUUCACUCUAUUGUGUUUGCCAUACUGGUUGCUGCUGAGAAGACAAAAACAGAAGCAUCUUAGAAAGUUUAAGAAUCUCCCAGCAGCCCCCCACCAGCCAGAGGGAGAGGCUGGGGUCACCCCAUCAGGCUCCCCAGUGUGGAGGGAAUUUCCAUUGCAGGUUCUCUCUGGGGCUCCUGUUGCUGGUGCUGUGGGUGGAGGAGAAGGCCCCAGGGCCACGCUGGGGGCUUGGACUCGGGGUGGGGGUCCUCGACUCCAGUCUGAGUGGGGGACUGGCAGGCUCCUGGGUGGGCUGCUGAUUUUCUGCCUCAUGGAGCCAGGUGGGUUUGGCUUUAUUGCGUUUCACUGGGAGUGCAGAGACCUUCGGCUGCACCUUGAGGCUUAGGGAGGAGCUGCAGCUCUUGGGGUGAAUGGAAGCGGAGGACCUCAUAGAGAUGGUGUGGCCCUCCAUCUUGGGUUUCUUGGAGCUCAGGAUUAGGUAUGUUGCCAUGACACUGUCAAAUCUCCUUUUCCUUAAGGAAUCCUGGAUCUUGUCCCACUCAAAGCCCAUGUCCAUCAUCACCUCUAUCACCCCGAGGUCCCUGUUGUCACAGGGCAGCUCCCCAUAAGGCCUGAGUUUCUCCUGGCCCAUAUUAACCCACGGGUCCUUCAUGAUGUCUUUUAAACUUUUUCUCUUGCUGGGGUCAAGGGUCAUCGUUUUCUUUAGGAGUUUUCUGCAUUUAAAGGAUAAGAACACAGGAAGCAGGCAUUGCCUUCUCAGUACCCUCGCUUCACUGGAGCGAAGUCGUCUCCUGGGAAAGGCCCGGCCCCAGUGAGCAUAACGUGAAGAACCACCCCAAGGCUCCAGACGUCUGCCCAGCAGCGUAGUCCUGGCAAAAGAAGACUUCCGGGUCAGUGUGACAGGAGCACCGCAGUGCAUCCUCAGCUUCCGGCCAAGGGUCACGGUGCUCAGAACAGAGUCCUCGAGCUUUACAUUCAGCUCAGCGUUCAGAAGUACGUUCUCCGGCUUCAGGUCCCUGUGGACGAUGCCUCUGUGGUGGCAGUACUGGAGGGCCGAGCUGAGCUGCCUCAGGCUGCCUCAGGCCUCCUCCUGCGUCGUGGGGCCGCGCUUUGCUACGUAAUCCGGCACGUCUCCUCUGCUAACAUGCCCCGGGAUGAGCAACGAUGUUUCCUCUGUGUCGAUGACCUCCAAUAACUUUGCGAAGUCUGGGUGAUUGCAGGCCCUUAGGGUGUAGACUUCACGGAAAAGCUUCUUGUUUCUGUAGAAGCUCUGCUGAGGCUUCUCAAUGAUUUUUACAGCCACUUCUGUCCCAGUCGGGAUUUCCCGCCCCACCUUCACUGUGGUGAAGCUCCCUUCUCCAAUGGUAUUGAGGAGCUCGUAAUUGUUAAUACGGGUCGUCUUGUUAGCAGAGGUGGCCUCGAGGCCCAGAAGCAUGUGACCUGCUAACUACACUAACUGACAAUACUAACUAACAAUGCUAACUAUGCUAACAAACAAAACUAUAGUAUGCUAAUAUUAACUAAUGAUCCUAACAAUGCCACCUAUGCUUACUAUGCUAAUAAGUAAUACUAACUAUACCAAGUAUGCUAACUAUAUUAACUAUACCAACAGUACUAACUCUACUAGCAAUACAAAAUAAAAAAUUUAAGGAGGGGCCAGCUGGGUGGUGCAGCGGUUAAGUUUGCGCAUUCUGCUUUGGGAGCCCAGGGUUUGCUGGUUUGGAUCCUGGGUGUGGACCUACACACUGCUUGUCAAGCCAUGCUGUGGUAAGCAUCCCACCUAUGAAGUAGAGGAAGAUGGGCAUUGAUGUUAGCUCAGGGCCAGUCUUCUUCAGCCAAAAAAAAAAGAAAAGUAGGAGGAUUGGUGGCAGAUGUUAGCUCAGGGCUAAUCUUCCUCAAAAAAAAAUUUAAGGAAAAUGAGAAAAAGAACCAGAAAACAAAGAAAAAAGAAAAAAUAAGAAAAGAACAAAGAAAAAUUGAGAAAAAGAGAAAAAAGUGUGAAAAAUAAAACAAGAAAAAUGAGAAAAAGACAAAAAGAAUUUUAAAAAAUGAGAAAGGAGAAUAAAAAAAUUAAAAAGAAAAUAGAGAAAAAUAAGAAAAUAAAAACAAUAGAUAAAAAAGAAAAAAUAAACAAAAUGGGAUGGAAAAAAAAAGAAAAAAGCUCACUGCGGUCCAAGUCCUACAGGUCACCAAAAAUUAGCUUCCUGGGCUGUAAGGAACAAAAACCCAAGCCCAGCCAGAGACUUUAUAGGUGUUUGUAAUUCCAUCAUGGUGGAUCCUUAUGAGCUCUGGGCAAGAAAUGGACCAAUCAUGGCAGGGGAUAAACUACAGUGUUUUUCUUACUUUUUGGUCUCAACACCCCUUUACUGUUUAAAAAACAAAAAAGGACCCCAAAGAGCUUUUUAUUUAUGUGGGAUAUUAGAGAGUGAUAUUUAUUAGAAAUUAAAAUCUGUAAGAUGCUUCAGUGGCCUUUUCAUUUCUAAUUUAAAAAUCUGUAAUAAUUUUUGGCUUUUAGAGGCCUCACAGUGUCUACACUUAAAAUAUUUAAUUCCUUGUCCUUCAACUCUGAUUAGUCUCAAAAUGAUCCCACAACUUAAAGGAUGUUAUAAUACUAUAGGAAAAUGUUCUGUUGGUGAGACACAAGAAGGGACAUCAUUGAUGUUUAUAAAGCUGAGAGGAAGAGAGCUUUCAUCAUAUUUUCCGCAGUAAGAUCACGAGCAGAUUUCUCAUCAGAAACCUUGGAGGCCAGAUGGCAUGGGUUGAUGUAUUCAAAAUGCUGAAGGAAAAAAGAAUCCAACCAAGAAUCCUAUAUCUGGCAAAACUGUCCUUCGAAAAUGAGGGGAAAUGAAGACAUUCCCGUAUAAACCAAAGCUGAGGGAGUUCUUCACACUAGACCUGCCCUCCAAGGAAGGGAGUCCUUCAGGUUGAAACAAAAGGACACUGGACAGUAACUCAAUGCCUUGGGAAGAAAUAAAUAUCUCCGGUCAAAGUAUGUGGAUGAUUAUAAAAACUAGUACUAGUGUAACUUUGGUUUGUAGCUCCACUUUUUGUUUUCUACGUUAAGAGACUAAAGUAUUAAAAAACCCAAUUAUUAGUAUAUGUUUUUGGACACACAUCCUAAAGAUGUAACUUUGUGACAUUCAUAACUGAAAUGGGGAGGAGUCAGGGCUGUAUAGGAGCUGAGUUUCUGUAUUUUACUGAAGUUAAGCUGGUAUAGAUUGACGUUAGAGUGUUACAACUUUACGAUGUUGAGUGUAAUCCCAUGGUAACCACAAAGAAAAAAGCUAUAGAAUAUAGACAAAAGAAAAUGAGAAGGUAAUUAAAUUGCCCUUUCAGUAAUUGUACAAACAAGCUACAUGGCCCUGUCAGCACAGAAAUCCCACGGGACGGCUUCUCUCACUGAACCAUCUCUGCAGAUUGCAGGAGGCCAUCCUGUGCCCCUUUCCUAUGUCUGCUGUGUCAGUGACAGUGUUAUUGAUGUUGUUUUUCAAGCUAAUUGACAGUCUGGUGCAGGAUAGUUUCUCCAGGAUGCCAUAAAGCAGUUGUCAGCUGUCUUGAAGGCUCUGGCUGUCCACAGCUCUCACCACAGCUACACAAUGCCUGCCAGGGCCACAGGCCACCUCCCAUCUCACCACAAGUGCAAAAUUAGAAAUAACACCAAUGACAAUGAUGAUGCGUGACACUCCUUACGUCCCAAGCCCUGAGCUGGGCCCUGACGCAUGUUAUUAAUGAUUUUCAAAGCAACCUAGCCGGUCCAACAUGGUCCUCACUGCAUAAAAGAUGGACUGAGGCUCCUGGAGUUUGCGUUAACUGCCACGGUCACGUGACCAGCUGGCACCAAGGCACGUUUUGAACCCAGAUUUGCUGAUUCUAUCCACUCCACCCACUCCUUGCUACGCCACGCUCCUGUCACAACGUCAACAGCCAGCAUGCAAACCAGCCUCUGUCCAUCAUGUUAGAAGUCAGGACAGAGGUUACUUGAGGGCAGGUGACGGAAACGGGCCGUGGGGGCUUGUGAGUGCUGACAACAUUUGCCUCCUGAUCCAAGUACUGGCUAUUCAUUUGGGAUAGUGUGAUUUAUGAGAAAUAAAUAUUUGGUCAUUCAGAUGAGCAAAAUAUAUUUCUUAUAUAUAUUUGGCCUUCCUCUGUGGUUCCUGGCUUACAGCUCCCAAAGCCCUUUGAAUUUUCUGAGAGAGAAAAGCAAUGGAAACAUCUUUUGUUAUAAUACUGGGUCUCUUGUCCUCCAUUCCUGAAAUUGCUUCAGAGCCAUAAAGGUGAAAUGGGUGACUUGUUAUUCAUAACAAGCCCCUUUCUACCACGAUGGGGUUUAUGUUAAUGAAGUGACUUUUAUAAAGCCCCUAAGGAUGAGGACUGGUUUCCAGGGGAACCAACCUUGAUUAUAGGGCUGGAACUUUCAGUGGUCCCCCCCCCCACCCCACCCCCC
rnacentral:lncRNA from 1 species